rnacentral:lncRNA from 1 species
GGGCGGGCAUUUCCUGCCGGUGCCUAGGGCCGACGGGGACGCUGGCACUGGUGGGGAGCUGUUGGGGGGUCCCGCAUCUAGGGCUCUCCUUUCCUGCCUCCGGCCCCCGCGAGGGGCGCGCGCCUCUCCCCGCCCUCCAGCAGUCCUGGUAGGGCCCGGGCGCGUCCGCGCUCUGCAGCGGGAGGUCCUCGUCGCCUCUCGUCUCCAGCCAGGGUGGGCAGCGUGUAGAGAAGUGAGUCAUUCCAGUCUCUGCCGGUUAGCACCUGCCAGCCUAAGUUGAGUCGACAGAGCCGUUAUGGAGAAUGUUCCCUGACCACAGUAUGUGACUAGGAUUUGGAGAUAAAAAAGAUACGAUCCUCGCCUUCAGGAGACCCUGUCGCAUAAGGAGACUGCCAUGUCAGUGACCAGCCACACGUGCAGUGACAAGUGUCUGGAAGAAGGAACAGUGCUGUACAGCAUGGAGGACCCCCACACAGGCCUCGGGCAGCAGCCGUUAGGCUCAGUGGGUUCACAAACCACCCCCCGCCCCGCCGUGGAGUGGAGUCUGC